UUGCACCACUGCACUCCAGCCUGGGCGAUACAGUGAGACCCAGUCUCAAAAAAAAAAAAAAAAGAGUCUUUUUUGAUGGUGGACAUCUUCCAAUGAGCAUUCACAUGGGACAGAUUUUUUUUUAGUUCUACCGUUGUUCUGAAAGCUCUAUGUAUGUUCCUCUUCCCUAAAAAUCUUUGUCACCAAGCCUCCAGAUUUAUUCCUUCUAAAAUGUUGAAAUUCCAGCUAAUUCCUUAGUUGUUACCCAGGAAACAAUGCAGAUCCUGGUCCGAGGAUGCAGCUCCUUCCAGGCAGCCUGGACUGUGAGGUGUGCUCCAUUGCUCUUCAGGAACCGUCCUUGAGAGGCGUUCCACAGCAGGCCAGACCUGGGGGGAGCAGGUGGGCCAGGCGGAAAGCACAGCACAAUUUGAGAGAUGCUGAGUACUCAUGACUCUGUGUAAGCACCUGAAUUCAGCCCUCAUGGUCUUUUCUGAGCUGUCAGUCAUUUAUCUCUAUUUAGUCAUUUUGCGAAUUGGAGUUAGCUUCCUUCCCUCUACACUCAAAGACGGCAUGUCAACAUUUUAGGCCUCUGGGUGGAAUGAACUCCCAGUUUCCUGGGAGGGAGCUGAUUGGCAUCUAUUCGCCUCUUCCUAGUUUUGUGGGGUUUCCCAGCAUGUGGAGUCAUAGAGAAAGACUGGUCCCACCUUCUAUGUAAUGCCCAAGAGAAUAGAUGACUCUCUGUCCACCCCCACCCUGGCAUCCAGGGCUUCUGGACAAGACCUAGGCUGGCUAAUUGGCUGCUUCCACAUGGGAUCCUGAAUCUGGAGCAAGUGAGGCAAAGCCCAGGGUGCUUAGAAUCCAUUCUCAGUGAGAGCAGCAGGACUGCCCGGGAGGGGAAUAGAGACGGGGACGACCGAGUCCUGCACCAGCAGAGAUGACGUCCGCAGGUGGCGGGGCAGCGCUGUGGCCGUGUCACUCCUCACAAAGCAGGGCUCUUGUGCUCGCAGCCUUCGAUACCGUCUCACUGUCUUGGCUUCUAUUUAUCUUCCAAGCCAAUUUCCAGCCUCCUACACACGUGGGGUUCUUCUGGUAUCAUUCCAGUGAAUUUCAUGUUGUUUUCUGCCCUAAGAAAACAGAGUUGGUACCUCUGCUCGACCAAGAAGCCUGAUUGAUACAGACUGAGAGCUGCAGGCUGUGUUUAUUUGCUUCAUUAACAAGAACAACUUAGGAAUGGCAACUUCCAUUGAUGAGCUUCCUACUUUGUUCUGCGGUUGGAAAACAAACAGUUGUUUCCCUGUUGACGACUGGCCACACUGGAGAGGUGAACAGUUCACUCUCAAGGCCAUACUGACUUGAACACUGGCUGUCUAGAAACAGAGAGGCAGGCAGCGGCAGACAGGAAGAGAGAUGGAGCAGAGUCCUCCAGCGGGAGCUGCACCUCGGAAGCAUCCUUAGAUGCGGCUUGGAGUUGGGAUCCUUCAAUUCCCCUCAGGAGAGUCAGCCAAAAAUAUCAACAGCCACAAUUUAUUGGACGCCUUCAGGAGAAAUGUCAAAGGCCUUUGUCCAAAGAAGGAACCAGAUUGGGGCCAACCUUUCAGACGGAUGUCCAUGGGAUGCUCGAGCUGCCUUUCCCCAACAAGUGGUGUCAACAGGGAUCUGGAGAGGUCGUGUGCUGGCCUCCAGGGGGUACCCCAGGGAACGGUGGGAUGUGAGAGUGACAGACCAGGAGGAUGGGGGCCUUUAUCAGUCAAGUGCUGUUCUGUCCCCACCAUCCUUUAGCUGGUGAAUAAUCUCAGGGGGAUUAUUAAAAGCCCAGAAGCAAAGAAGCAUUUGAAAGGUCCGUAUCUAGGAGUCUGGUUUCUCAGAGGAUCAGGGAGGGAUAAGAUUGGCUAAAAGACAGAUUUGGGACUUACUAUCAGAAAAGAAUCACUAGGAAAAUCUAAUAUUGGUACAUGGAAAAGCAACAUGUGGAUUGAAUGAUGGGAUUUCCUGUGAAGAAAAGGUAAGGCAUGCAAGCCAGACAGGACAGAAUGAUGGGCGAAAAUCAAGCCACGCACCUCAAACUCCUCUCGAGCUGAGAUCCAGAAAGACAGGGGCAUGGAAUUGCUGCUGGGUCUGGCAGGGGGCAAGAGCCAAACAGAUGAAGGGUACAUGUGACUGCCAUUCAGGGCCACGAUAGAGGAAAUGAUCAGAAGUCACUUUCUAGAGGCUGUAGAUGGGAGUUUGAUAAGGACCAUGGGGGACAGCUGAGAUCUGGGCAGAUUUGAGAAGGGAGAGCAGAACAGACUGCGUCAAAAGUGGAUCCGUGAGUUUCCUGGCGACCCAGGUAUAGAAGGGAUGCAGGAGUGGCCUGUACUUUCAGAAGCACAUGCAGGAGGAUGCUGGUCUGGGACUGGAGAUGAAAGAGGUCCAGAGAAAAUGGGACACGCUCAGACAGGGGAGCUGUGGGUGGAGUUCAGGACAAAGUCUGAUGUAAGGCUCAUGGAAGACCUUCCUGAAGGAAUUGCCCCUCUCCAGGAAGUAAGGAGGGUGGAUUUGUUUCCACAGUGGGAAUUCCUGGCAGGUCCAGAACUUCUUGACUUUCUGUCUCUCAAUACUGUAGACCUGCAAGAUGGAUAACAGAGGCAUUAGGGAAACUGAUGCCUACGCCACAAAGUUUAAAUACAGCACAAGGAAAGAAGCUACUUUGAUCCAGAAAACACUGCUAACCCCAUCCAAGACUGAGAUGGAGCAGGGCCCUAUGGGGUGAGAUAAGCGUCUGAGGAGCAGGCUGCAGGGAGGAAUGUUCCAGCUGCCACUGAAGCAACACACGAGGCUGAGGCUUGAAAGCUCAAAGGCCGAGGGAGCCGUAGCUUUGGGAAGGAGCAGCUGAUGGGGACGAUGGGUCACCUAAGCCGAGCUGUACCCUCGUCUGCUCCACCUCGAGUUUGAAUUCAACAAGUCUAUUGCUCCAGUGUUUUCUGAAUUAUCUGCAUAUUCAGAAUUCAGCCUGCGGAGCCUCAGCUCUUCUGAAUAUUUAAAUGACGCUCAGUUGCGAUCUGCAUCUCUCAUCAUGGUGUCUGACCCAAAGAUCACAAAGCUGAAGUCUAGCAAAUGACAGGAAGAACUAAGAGAAAGUGCUGCUGCAAAAAGAGUUUAAUGAGAGGGAAACUGAGGCUCUGAGAGAGGAGUGACUUGUCCAGGGUCCUGUGAUGGGAGACUGAGCAGGUAAAUUGCAGGACUCCACCUCUCUGGCCCUCUGUUCAGGCCUGUGAGGUGAUGAGGGAAGAAAGGGACUGUGCUGUGUGUCCUGAAAGGGAAAGAUGGCCCACACUGAGGGGGUUGUGUGGGCGCUGGGUUGGUGGGAAGGAUACGUUGCAGAGUGGUGUUUGCAGCAUGAUCCCAGCUUUGCAAUCAUAAGAUUAAAAGCCAAACUGUAGGGGACAUGUUCUCAGGAUCUCCUGGAGCUAUGUCAUGGGGAAAACAAAUAGAAAAUAAAUUUUAAAAAAAGUAAAAGAGAGAAAGCCAAACUGUAGACAUGUGAGUGUAACUUUGAGAGUGUGAGCUUAGACCUCUGUGUUUGUCGAAGCAGAGACAAGCCAGGCUGCUACCAGUGGUUGGGGACAAUUAGUUGGGGAUGGAAUAGAAUCCCAUUUCCUACUUUAGAAACUUUGCGAUUGGCCGGGCGCGGUGGCUCAUGGCUGUAAUCCCAGCACUUCCGGAGGCCAAGGCAAGAGGACUGCU
rnacentral:lncRNA from 1 species